CCCACGCCGCAACAUUAUCCAUUUAUCCCCUCCCGGAUCUAUCGACAGCGCUGCAACAGCGACCGCAGAAGUGGUGCAGGUGUUGUACACUGCGUUUCAAAUAAUGCACUGUUAACUGUCGAUAGUCCACUGUUUAUCGCAAAUUGCCGUGGUGUACGCACACGUCAUUUUUACAGCGUUUACUUUUUUGUACCGUUUGGUAAUUUUUACUUUUUUCUCCGUUUUUUUUAAUUAUUUUAAAAAAAUUAUGUAAAUAUGACG